AAGAUAAGAGCCAGUCAGACUAGCCAAAGGAGACUGCCUAUCAUCAGCACCCACUCACAGAAAGAGCUUUUCCUCAUGCAUUGUUAAACUCUUUGAUAAAAUGGGAGGAAAUAGGCAAGUCAUCCUUGGCUAUCAAACAUAGCUCUUCAUCU
rfam:Ricinus communis cultivar Hale ctg_1100012361051, whole genome shotgun sequence.